rnacentral:tRNA from 1 species
GUCCCUGUAGCUUAAAACAAAGCAUGGCACUGAAGCCGCCAAGACGGACACUCUUUUUCCCCGGGACA